CACACACACACAGCAGUGUAUGUGUGUGUGUGUGUGUAUGUUUAUAUAUAUGUAUAUGUGUGUGUGUAUACAUAUAUAUAUAUAUAUAUAUACACACACAUACAUAUACACGCGGUGUGUGUUUG